rnacentral:rRNA from 1 species
UACGUAGGUGACAAGCGUUGUCCGGAUUUACUGGGUUUAAAGGGUGCGUAGGCGGACUUGUAAGUCUGAGGUGAAAUCUCCGAGCUUAACUCGGAAACUGCCUUAGAUACUAUAGGUCUUGAAUGUCGUUGAGGUCAGCGGAAUAUGUCAUGUAGCGGUGAAAUGCUUAGAUAUGACAUAGAACACCUAUUGCGUAGGCAGCUGGCUAAGCGAAAAUUGACGCUGAGGCACAAAAGCGUGGGGAUCAAACAGG